GUUUGACCUCAAAUCAGGUAGGAUUACCCGCUGAACUUAAGCAUAUCAAUAAGCG
rnacentral:rRNA from 2 species